UUGUGAUUGAUACAUUGAUUUGCUGGUUGAUUUGGCAUUACGCGUCGAGUUUAUCUCCACCUGUGAUCGUGAAUGCGGUGGAGUGAGACGCCCAAUGGGACUAUGUGAAUGUUAGACAAGAAUAUCUUGAUCUUCGUUGUUCGUGAGGGUUGAUUUUGCGUCUAGAGAACACAUUAACGUUCGAAUGGGCUUCGCAGUGUAAUUGAAUUUUUCGGUGUGAUUUUGGUGAUUUUAAAGAAAAUACCAGGCCACCGAGUUGAGACAUCCGCCAAAGAUUCUUCGAGUAAACUAUUGUGCCAUCAUCUGGAUCAGACAUUUGGAUGUUUUUGUAUUUGUUUUCUGAUAGGUUGUCUGCGCCAUUUUGGGGAUGUGAUAUAUGUACGUACCUCAUGCAUCCACAUGAGGUUCUUAUUUUUGCUUUGUUGGCACAAUGGCAAUUAGUUGAUACGUCUUACACUCGUACGUAAACCCCGAUCAACACCUACAGGGCAACGUUUUGGAAUUCGACAACUAUUUCCUGUUCGCUGCUGGAGUGACUCGCUUAAUUUGGUAGCAGCUCUUCACCGCAACCAGUCAAUCGAUCGCGACCGUGCUAUCGGAUACAGCCGGAGUCUAAAUCAGCGUACACGACUGCAGCCACUACUUACAGGAACCGCAAGAUUUUUUGGGUUUCCUAUUUUCUACAUGGGAUAUUCAAGCUUGCGAUUGCUAGUCGCAGGAACAGGGUAGAAUUUGGUUUUUGGAGUGAUAGCUUACUUUUCACACCAGAUCGGCUAACUCCCGGUUUGGUGGAGCUUUUUGCAGCCCAACAGCUCCUUCAUUCUGUUGUUCGCCUGUAGAUCAUUGGCCAGGAUGACUGUAAGUUAUAACUGUUUUUCAUUAUUUGAUUAACAACCUGAUUAACAGAAUUUCUAUAUGGGGAGGCAUAAUAUUCAGUGCCCUUGAUUGCUAAUAAAAGAAAAACUUGUGGCGCAUAAUAUUGUAAGCAAAAAUAUAUGAAAGUAGAAAGUAAGAAAGGGAAAUAAAAUGAAAUACUAAAAUAAUUAGUUAUUGAUAAUGGGCCAGGGACUGAGUUGCAAUUGAUUCUGAAAAGGAUUCUGAAACUAGGUUUGAUUAUUGAUGUAAUUAAAAUGGUGUUCUGUCAAAUAGGUUUGAAAAAGCUUCAAAAUAGAUGCAAAACAUCCUCAUUAUCUUAUAUUCCCUAGGAUUGACUCCCACAAUCCACAAAAAAUCAAAACUUGAUGCUUGAAGUACUAUACUUUUUCUACAGUAUUGACAAAAUAAUACAUACUACUUCUUUCCAUAAAAGUUAAUUGAUCAAUAACUAAAUGCCCAUUCAAGGUGUAUUUUACUCUAUCCAAUCCAAAAACUUACUUUUUUUUUGUUUUUUAUCUAUAAUUUUUCUUUUUACAUUUUCUUUACAUGGGAUAUUCAAGUGUUAUCGUUUUGUGGUUGUGGUUUUAUGGCUUAUCCCCCUUAUUAAUAAAGCUAGCGUGUUGCAGUUUUUGUCAUACAGGGUGGCUUUGAAAUACUGCAUUUUCAGAAACCCUUGGUAGUUUGGUUAUGCGUUAACUUAUUGAAAAGGUGAAGACUGACGUAGGUAUAGUUUUUACGAUCCAGUGGCGUAGUCAGUUUUCUUCUCAAUUUUUCCUGAUUACGUCAGAGCUAAUUCAAAUACAAUCAUUUUAUUUUUUUAUUGAGCAAGUAAUGACCAAAUGAGCUUCUGCUUUCAUUAAUGCUUCAUUAAUGUUGCAAAUCUUUAUAUAUUUUGUCCUUAUUACUGUUGUGACUAACUUCAUCACCCCACAAAGCAAUCUACAAAAUAUCUUGCUUGCCUUACAUAUAUGUACUUGUUCUUUUUUGCCAAAUCUAACAGCUGUAUUCCAAUUAUUUCCAAGUAAUUGUAUUAAUUGAAAAAUAUUUCUUCAUGCUUUUUUUUAAACUGCAUUUUUUCCCAAUAAAUUGGUCCUAAAUAAUUUAUGAAAAAAAAAGAUGUUUGACGAAUGUGAAAUAUGUUUUAUCCCAAAAGCAGUGUAAAGAAUAAGAACGCGCAUAUUUUUUGCACAGAACUAGGUCUAUUUUGCCAAGGUUUGAAAUAGUUUCUUUGUAGAUAAAAUUUGCAAAUUACUGUUUAUUAUUUUUUUGUGUGUUUAUAAAUUUUGAAUUUUUUAUUGUACUUCCCGAGUAGUAGUAGAGUAUUUUAUUGGGGUGUUUUAAAAAAAAAUGUUAUUGAAAUCAGAGAUUUUUUCUAUGAUAGAUCUAUUAGUUUAUUUGUAUAUGCAAGAUAUAUCUUACUCUGACUUUCUAACUUUUAAUAGGAUGCUCUGUAUGUUACUGCAAAUUUGGACGAGUCGAAUGACGUAAUGUAUUGUGUGGGUCUGGGUACCAACGUUUCGGAUUUUUUGAUUUUGUUCUUCAGUCUGACAAAUUCUUGAAUUAACAAAUUCGGUAAAUAAAAGUUUUUUGAGAUUUGUUUGCAUGAAAAGAAAUCGAAAUGUUAUUUUAACUACACAUGUUUAAACAUUAUUGUUAAAAUUUAAACAUGUUACUGCAAACUACACGUUUUGCUAUUAAAACAUUUAUUGAUUUACUUUUUACAAAAUUUCUUGAUUCAUCCUGCGUCAGUUUUUGCUGAGUCGAACUUGCCGACGUUUCGCCAAUCAUACUGUUGGCUUUUUCAGAGCUUCACUGAAACUGAUUCGUAUUUUACUCUGGACCUGCUUAUAUAUUGUUUGAGGGGGGCAGAGCUAAAUUAGCGGCAUAAACACCGUCUCGGAUGACUGAUCCCCAUAUUGAUGACAGAUAGAGACCUGAGUCGCGGUUAAGAUUGUUAGGUUGUUUAUAGAUUUGUAUAGAUUGUCGGAUUUUUCGUUGGUAGAAGAACUGAUUACAUGCAAAAAUUUUAGUUUUAUCGAAUAAAAUGUUAUGUCCGGUUUCAUGAGUGUGUUCGGCAACAGCCGAUGAGUUUAUUUGUCUUAGAGGUAAGGCUCUUUCGUGUUCUUUGAGCCAGCUGAUAUUUUUCGUCCGGUCUCUCCAAUUUAUUCUUUGCCGCAUAUGCAUGGAAUGCUGUAAACUCCUGGCAUCGCAAAUGGAAUUUUGUUUUUGACGGACCGAAGAUGUUGAGAGAUUUUUGAACAAAUGGUAAAUCUGGUUUUGACGUUAUACUUCUUUGGAACUUUUGAUAUGUGGUCAGUGAUCGCUAUUGGAAGGUUGUGGUGAAGUGUAUUUUUUGAUAGAACGCUCAAUAUCUUUCAUGUGGAAAUUAUUAGAGGGAAGAGCAGAGGUAAGGUGUUUUAACUCUGAUGGUGAUGUGACCAUGCAUUAAAGUAUCGGUCUGUGCGCGUAGAUUUUCUGUAAACACAAUGACCCAAUGUUAGGUCUGAUUUUCUAUUGAUAAGAAUAUCUAAAAAUGGAAGAUUAUUAUUAGUGUCUAGUUCAAUAGUAUUGUAUUGUAUAAUGUUUUAAAAACUACAACUGUCAUCCAAAAUACAUAAGAGACAAAAAGUGUAAAGUAAGAGGUUUAUUAAACUAAAUAAGUUUUAAUACCAUUGGCGUACAUAAAGAAAAGUUGCUGAUAAUCCACAUAAAAAUCUACAUAAAAGUGAAAUAUGUGUAAAACUGCGAGAUUUAUAAAUAAAAAUGUUAUUUUAUGAAUACAUUUUUACACCCUGCAUUUUAGAAACCGGCCCCGAAAAUGAAAAAUGGCAUAAUGAAAAUCACAUUUAUACACAAUGUGUCAUUAACGGGAUGACCUAUACUUUGACUCACCCUGUAUAACAUAUAUUUAAAUAGAAUAAUGGUAUAUUAUGCGAAAAGUGUGGUAAAGCGGAGCGAGUGUUUAUUAAAUGAGUGACUUAAAAGGUUGACCAAACGUGUUGCAUAUUAUGCUUUAUCUACGGCUGUCAGUUCUUGUGUAUUGUAGCCUAUAUUGUUAAUAACAAGUAGUUUGUCCUCAAGUCCCUUAUUAUUAUGUAAAGCCAUUAUAUACAAAAAGACAACAUGUUUAAAGACUUUUCGUAAAGAUCUUGUACAGGGUGGCCACUUAGUGUUGCCGGGUAAACACAACUUCAUUUUUUUUUAAAUCGAACAUCCUGUAUAUUAUUACUUUUUUGGAUUCUACUCAAAUUUCUAGGAAAAUUUUAUAUAUAAUGUUGUUUCGUUUGCAUGCUCCUUUAAUAGUUUAAUUAGUGUAAUUUAGUCAUUUUUCUAAUAUUAGUUGCCCUAAAAAAAUACAAAUUUUCUACCAUUACCAACACGUUUUAAUUCGUCGUUCGUGGUUUUCUCUCUUCAUUGUUGCGGUCGUUUCGAUAGACUUUAUCCAAGUUUGUAAGAGUAAGAACUGAACGUUUUUUUGUGAAAACCAUGUUGAUUUUGAUCUAUGUCAUUCUUUACCAGAAAAAACAACUGUAAAUAAAUUGCAGCCUCAAAAACCUGUGCAAAGAGUUUUCGUCGUGUAAAACAAAUUUGAUUUUUUAAAAAACUUUAUUCAAGCGAGAUGACAAAAAGCUGGCGAUGUGGUUCGCACCGUGGUUUUAUAUAAACAAAUUGCUGACACUUUGGGAAACAAUAUGUAUGGGAACUUUUAUUCAGCGGUUUACAAUAUUAGAGCGUUUAUAACACCUCCGCCCUUAGAUGAAAGCACGGGUACAACAAGUGGUUUUAGUUUAAAUAAUAAUAUUCUCUUUUUGUUUAUUAAUUUUAGGUAACCUUUUAAAUGGAAAACAUCUAUAUAACAAAUAAAUCAAAAUCAAUAUAAUUAUUAGGUACAACAAAAUUGUCCAAACACUAGUUCUUGUAGAAUAUAUAGGUAAUGACAUCUUCCCAAGGUUUUCUUUUGCUUCGUCCAUUUGGAUUUGUAGCUCUUUUAUUGCCUUUAGGUUGAUCGUGUCCAGUGUGAGUUCUGGUGGAUCGAAGAUUGUUUUCUGUUUGUGUAGUAGUGAGAAAUUCACUUCCGGUAGACGGGUGUCAUCAAAUCUCAAUCGAUUAGGGGUAUAGGUCCCUAGUCGUUCCAAUUUGUACUUUGCAAAUUGGGGAAGACUCGAUAAGGUGAGAUCCGAAUAAUGGUACAAUGUUAAUGUCGUCAUUACAUUGUACUGUUGCUAUUGUCUUCUUAGGUGUCAAUCCAUUUUCCAUUUUGGAUUUUAAAAAUUUUUAUUUCUUGAAGUUGGAUUUUAAUUGGUUUACAGUUUGUCACAUUGGUCUUGUGAGUUAUUAUUUCCACUGAACAAGGCGGGUGUUCCUUCAUAUAGGUAAUAUAUAUAUUUUUACACAUCAACCCAUUUUUUAAUAGUUUCACACAUUUAGAGUCCAUAAAUGAGUAUAUAUUUCCACUCAGGUAUGGUUGGAUCGGUAUAUUGACGUAAUAUUGCAGUUCUUGUUCACUAUUAACUGGUAGCGGAUACAAUUGGUAAUAUUGAUAAAUUUCUGAUUCUACUAGUGGUAGUUCCAAAAUAAAAGUUAUUAUUAGUCCUCUAGAGUAGCUUUUUAUUUCUAUAAUUUUUUCAAAAUUUAAUAUAUUUUCGAUAGAUAACUCGAACGGUAGUUGGUUUUCCUUUAAUUCUUUUUUAAUGUUUUUAAUUUCUUCGAAUAGUUCUCAAAAAUGUUAUAUAUUGAAUUAUACAUAAAGGUAAUUUGAUUCAUUACUACAUGUAUUUGGAAAUACUCAUAGUCGUUCGUUUGUUCAACAGUUAUCUUUUUGAUUAUUUGAUCAAUUUGUAAUAUUUUGUAUUUAAGGAUGAGUUGGUUAUGAGAAAUAUUGGAUAUCAAAUUUUUAAAUGAGUUGAUUGUUUUUUCUAACGGUUUUAUUUGAUUAAUUGAAUUAGUUCCUAAAUUAUUUUGGUUUUCUUGCAGUUGUUUGAUUUCUAUAUCGUUUUUUUGCCUCGUCCGAUUGGUCUAAGUUUCCAGUAAUACAUUUAAUAAUAGAACCGAUUGGGUUUAAUAGACCUCUUUUAUUUCUUCUUAUAUAUGAUGGAUUGAGUUGAUUAAUUUGGUUUUCAAUGCGUUUUGCUAAUGUUACAAGAGGGAUGACUGAAUUAGAAUAUUCGUGAGAAUAAUUAGUAUUAUUUUUAAUCUGACUAAUUAAUAUUUUUACUUUGUUAUAGAUUGCAUAGAAUUCAGCAACAGCUGGGUUUAAAUCAAAAAUUUGUAUAAAGAAGAAUUGGUUAGAGGUUAUUUUUGCGGUACCUAGUUUAUAAGGAAGGAUUCCUAGAUAGUUGUUCAGGUUGUGGAAUUUUACUUCGUUUGCUCCGAUGUUUGCGAGCCACCUGGAACAAUGUUCAUUAUUUUAGUUUCGU